UACAGAGGGUGCAAGCGUUGUUCGGAAUUAUUGGGCGUAAAGGGAGUGUAGGCGGUUUGAUAAGUCUUCUGUGAAAUCUACGGGCUUAGCCUGUAAAGUGCAGAGGAAACUGUCAGACUUGAGUGUCGGAGAGGGCAGGGGAAUACCCAGUGUAGAGGUGAAAUUCGUAGAGAUUGGGUGGAACACCAGUGGCGAAGGCGCCUGCCUGGCUGACAACUGACGCUGAAACUCGAAAGCAUGGGGAGCAAACAGG
rnacentral:rRNA from 1 species